GAUGAACGCUAGCUACAGGCUUAACACAUGCAAGUCGAGGGGCAGCAUGGUCUUAGCUUGCUAAGGCCGAUGGCGACCGGCGCACGGGUGAGUAACACGUAUCCAACCUGCCGUCUACUCUUGGACAGCCUUCUGAAAGGAAGAUUAAUACAAGAUGGCAUCAUGAGUCCGCAUGUUCACAUGAUUAAAGGUAUUCCGGUAGACGAUGGGGAUGCGUUCCAUUAGAUAGUAGGCGGGGUAACGGCCCACCUAGUCUUCGAUGGAUAGGGGUUGUGAGAGGAAGGUGCCCCACAGUGGAACUGGGACACGGGCCAAACUCAUACGGGAGGCAGCAGUGAGGAAUAUUGGUCAAUGGGCGAGAGCCUGAACCAGCCAAGUAGCGUGAAGGAUGACUGCCCUAUGGGUUGUAAACUUCUUUUAGAAAGGAAUAAAGUCGGGUAUGGAUACCCGUUUGCAUGUACUUUAUGAAUAAGGAUCGGCUAACUCCGUG
rnacentral:rRNA from 1 species